GAAACGGUCUGAUUCAGUUCCUGUCUCCGCCUCCAAAAAUGUCUAGUUUACUCUGAUUGGUCAGAUGGCCUACUCAACUGUUAUUGGUCAACUGGGUUCGGCGUAUGUUCGAAAGGAUACGCCCCUGACUUCGCGUGUGUUUCCCGGUCCUAAAGAGAGCAGGAACGUACGUAAACAGCUACAUGCAGAUUGCAGAAACAAUGGCGAUUGUACUGCCCUACCAGUUCGAGCCCGAGUCCGAUCCAGAGAGUUCAGACGAGCAGACGGCCGUUACAGCAACACCUCCGCAAGCAAGACUUUUGCAGAACGUUUCUCAAUGGUAAUUUUUUAUUCACUCAGCCGCCUAACAAUAAGGAUGUAUUGUACAGUAACUGCAACGUCAAAAUAUUACGUUUAAAACGAUGUCCGUCAAUAAACUCGAGUUUGCAUUUAACUUGUUUAGGUGUUUGUGUGGCAACUGUGCCAGAAUGCCAAACGAGGCUGAAAACUUGUGUUGCAAAGAGAUUCCAAAGGUUGUAAGGAGAAUGCAACAGGUUCCAGGACCUCCUUCCUGCAUGAUUCAUCAUCCAGGUUUUGAACCAAACUGUCUUAAUCCCUACACACUGCAGAACAUCCACAACAUUUAUAGUACCGACUAUGGGCCUUUGAGGCGCAGAACACUAGAGGAAGGUUACAGAUACACAGCAUAUCGAAGCUUUGUCAGCUGGUGUUGGGGCUAUCUAGGACGACACAAUAGGGUUGUCAUCCCAUCGUGUGUUGUUCUCAGGAUCCGCUUGGAGUUUCCCGAUCAGGCUGGUCGGUAUG